rnacentral:rRNA from 1 species
GUGCCAGCAGCCGCGGUAAGACGAACCGAGCGAACGUUGUUCGGAAUCACUGGGCUUAAAGGGCGCGUAGGCGGGUUCGCAAGUCUGUGGUGAAAUCCUCCGGCUCAACCGGAGAACUGCCUCGGAUACUGCGGGUCUCGAGGGUGAUAGGGGUAUGCGGAACUAUCGGUGGAGCGGUGAAAUGCGUUGAUAUCGAUAGGAACUCCGGUGGCGAAGGCGGCAUACUGGAUCACUUCUGACGCUGAGGCGCGAAAGCCAGGGGAGCAAACGGGAUUAGAUACCCCUGUAGUCC